rnacentral:lncRNA from 1 species
AUGUUAAUAUGUAAAUAUGAUAUCUUACUCCUUAGGCAGCUUUGGGCCCUUCAAGAGGUGAGCUCCUGUGUGUCUCCCUCCUGCUCCUGCUGUACCAAGGUAGAUUCUAAAAUGCCUCAGUGUGAUCAACUUAAGCCAGUACCAAUGCCUCUUCCGUCAACAGAUUCUUCAAAUGACUAUGAACCAUUUGAGCCCACUAACUGAUUUCAAGCAAAUUUGGAAGAAAGCUGCAAGUCACAAAAAUGUCAUUUUCACAGAUACUUUGACAAUAAGCAUCUAAAGCAAAGAGAGACUCAGUUAAUGUCCCACUGGCAGAAAUCCUGGAGGACUCUGGUUCUUACUAGUCAUCAGGACAUCUAUAGAGGGGUUCAGCAAUUAAGCAGCAAUUACCUCCAGUAAUUUCUGCCGUUCUUGAAAUGUAUUUCUUUGUGGCACCAGUGCUUUUUCUGCUGCGUGUCUGGGACUCUUACAAAAUAAACUAUUUCAAAUUGACUUCA